UACGUAGGGGGCAAGCGUUGUCCGGAUUUAUUGGGCGUAAAGAGCUCGUAGGUGGUUUGGUAAGUAGGAUGUGAAAUCUCCAGGCUCAACCUGGAGGGGUCAUUCGAUACUGCCAUGACUAGAGGUCGGUAGGGGAGUGUGGAAUUCCGGGUGUAGCGGUGAAAUGCGUAGAUAUCCGGAGGAACACCGAUGGCGAAGGCAACCGCCUGGGCCUGUACUGACGCUGAGACACGAAAGCGUGGGGAGCAAACAGG
rnacentral:rRNA from 1 species